rnacentral:lncRNA from 1 species
GAUUGUUGACGGGAACCUGAAGAUGACCCUGGGCAUGAUCUGGACCAUCAUCCUUCGCUUCGCCAUCCAGGACAUCUCUGUGGAAGAAACCUCAGCCAAGGAAGGCUUGCUUCUGUGGUGCCAGAGGAAGACAGCACCGUACCGCAACGUCAACGUGCAGAACUUCCACACCAGCUGGAAGGAUGGCCUGGCCCUCUGUGCCCUCAUCCACCGACACCGCCCUGACCUCAUCGACUACGCCAAACUGCG